rfam:Triticum aestivum genome assembly, contig: Triticum_aestivum_CS42_TGACv1_scaffold_306780_4AS
CAAGUACUCCCUUCGUCCGGAAAUACUUGUCGGAGAAAUGCAUAAAAAUGGAUGUAUCAAGAACUAAAAUAUGUCUAGAUACAUCCAUUCCUCCGACAAGUAUUUUCGGACGGAGGGAGUAAUAU